rnacentral:rRNA from 1 species
CCUACGGGAGGCAGCAGUAGGGAAUCUUUCACAAUGGGCGAAAGCCUGAUGGAGCAACGCCGCGUGCAGGAUGAAGGCCUUCGGGUUGUAAACUGCUUUUAUAAGCGAGAAAUAUGAUGGUAACUUAUGAAUAAGGAUCGGCUAACUACGUGCCAGCAGCCGCGGUCAUACGUAGGAUCCGAGCAUUAUCCGGGGUGACUGGGUGUAAAGAGUUGCGUAGGUGGCAUAAUAAGUAGCUAGUGAAAUCUGGUGGCUCAACCAUUCAGACUAUUAGCUAAACUGUUAAGCUCGAGACCGUUAGGGGUAACUGGAAUUUCUAGUGUAGGAGUGAAAUCCGUAGAUAUUAGAAGGAACACCAAUAGCGUAGGCAGGUUGCUGGGACGGUUCUGACACUAAGGCACGAAAGCGUAGGGAGCAAACGGGAUUAGAUACCCCAGUAGUC